AUACGUAGGUGGCAAGCGUUAUCCGGAAUUAUUGGGCGUAAAGAGUGAGUAGGCGGUUAAUUAAGUCUGAGGUUAAAGCGUGGGGCUCAACCCCAUAAAGCCUUGGAAACUGAUUGACUAGAGUAUGGGAGAAGUGAAGGGAACUCCAUGUGUAGCGGUGAAAUGCGUAGAUAUAUGGAAGAACACCAGUGGCGAAGGCGCUUCACUAGCCCGAAACUGACGCCCAGUCACGAAAGCGUGGGUAGCAAAUAGGAUUAGAUACCCUAGUAGUCCCCGCUGUAAACGAUGACAACUAAAUAUUGCCGCGAGGCAGUGUUGAAGCUACAGCAUUAAGUUGUCCGCCUGGGGAGUACGGUCGCAAGACUGAAACUUAAAGGAAUUGACGGGG
rnacentral:rRNA from 1 species